GUGAAUCAUCGAAUCUUUGAACGCACAUUGCGCCCGCCAGUAUUCUGGCGGGCAUGCCUGUCCGAGCGUCAUUUCAACCCUCAAGCCCCUCCGGGUGCUUGGUGUUGGAGACCGGCGAAUCCGGCCCCACCGCGGGGUCCCGGGCGCCGCCUCCCAAAUCCAGUGGCGGUCCCGCCGCAGCCUCACCUGCGUAGUAGCAUCUUAUUUCGCAUGGGAGAGCGGCGCGGCCACGCCGUUAAACGCCCAACUUUUGAACGGUUGACCUCGGAUCAGGUAGGACUACCCGCUGAACUUAAGCAUAUCAAUAAGCGGAGGA
rnacentral:misc_RNA from 1 species